rnacentral:rRNA from 1 species
AGCUGAUGGAGCACGCCGCGUGUGUGAUGAAGGCUUUCGGGUCGUAAAGCACUGUUGUAUGGGAAGAACAGCUAGAAUAGGGAAUGAUUUUAGUUUGACGGUACCAUACCAGAAAGGGACGGCUAAAUACGUGCCAGCAGCCGCGGUAAUACGUAUGUCCCGAGCGUUAUCCGGAUUUAUUGGGCGUAAAGCGAGCGCAGACGGUUGAUUAAGUCUGAUGUGAAAGCCCGGAGCUCAACUCCGGAAUGGCAUUGGAAACUGGCUAACUUGAGUGCAGUAGAGGUAAGUGGAACUCCAUGUGUAGCGGUGGAAUGCGUAGAUAUAUGGAAGAACACCAGUGGCGAAGGCGGCUUACUGGACUGUAACUGACGUUGAGGCUCGAAAGUGUGGGUAGCAAACAGGAUUAGAUACCCUGGUAGUCCACACCGUAAACGAUGAACACUAGGUGUUAGGAGGUUUCCGCCUCUUAGUGCCGAAGCUAACGCAUUAAGUGUUCCGCCUGGGGAGUACGACCGCAAGGUUGAAACUCAAAGGAAUUGACGGGGACCCGCACAAGCGGUGGAGCAUGUGGUUUAAUUCGAAGCAACGCGAAGAACCUUACCAGGUCUUGACAUCCUUUGAAGCUUUUAGAGAUAGAAGUGUUCUCUUCGGAGACAAAGUGACAGGUGGUGCAUGGUCGUCGUCAGCUCGUGUCGUGAGAUGUUGGGUUAAGUCCCGCAACGAGCGCAACCCUUAUUGUUAGUUGCCAGCAUUCAGAUGGGCACUCUAGCGAGACUGCCGGUGACAAACCGGAGGAAGGCGGGGACGACGUCAGAUCAUCAUGCCCCUUAUGACCUGGGCUACACACGUGCUACAAUGGCGUAUACAACGAGUUGCCAACCCGCGAGGGUGAGCUAAUCUCUUAAAGUACGUCUCAGUUCGGAUUGUAGUCUGCAACUCGACUACAUGAAGUCGGAU